rnacentral:lncRNA from 1 species
CGUAGAAGUCCGGAUGGGGAUCAUUUAUCGAGGAAGCUCGGCCGAAGUCUGCCUGCAAUAAAAGUUCGAAAGGAAUUCGCUCACAAUAGAAGCUCAGGUGGAGGCUUACAGUAGAAAUCCGACGUGGAUCGCUCGUAGUAAAAAUUCGGAGCAGACCGCUUGUAGUGGUAGCUCGGAGCAGACCGCUUGUGGUAGAAGUUCGGAGUAGACCGCUUGUGGUGGGGGCUCGGAGUCCGGCCCUUGCCAGAAUUUGGAUGAGGCCCACCUGCGAUAGGAGCUUGGGGCUGAUGUUCGGCUCCCGUAGGAGCUCGGAUGAAGUCUACCUG